AUUCAGCUUACUGAAAAGCAUACAGACAUUAUGUAAUAUGUACCAGUUUAAAGUGACACUGUCCCUUUUGGGGUCUUUGCAUUUUUAUAAAGACUUUACAAGGUGACAUGUCUGUUUGUGAGGAGGUGGCUGAGAGGAGGGCAGUUAGGGAGAAUUUUUUUUUAACUUUAAGGAGUCCCUUCUCGGUGCUGCCAUACUUCUGCUGUAGUACUUACGCUUUUGGUGUCUUUAUGUGCCAGUAGCUGUUAUUAGAACAGUAUUCUUACUUAC